rnacentral:rRNA from 1 species
UACGUAGGGGGCAAGCGUUAUCCGGAUUUACUGGGUGUAAAGGGGGCGCAGACGGCAAUGCAAGCCAGGAGUGAAAGCCCGGGGCCCAACCCCGGGACUGCUCUUGGAACUGCAUGGCUGGAGUACAGGAGGGGCAGGCGGAAUUCCUAGUGUAGCGGUGAAAUGCGUAGAUAUUAGGAGGAACACCGGUGGCGGAGGCGGCCUGCUGGACUGUGACUGACGUUGAGGCCCGAAGGCGUGGGGAGCAAACAGG